AAUAGAGGACCUCACCUCUAGUUUGUAACCAGAGUAUGUACACCAGUACCUAUAAAUAGAACUUGUUGUUCUUAUCUAAUAUCUCAGACUAGAUCUUGUGCUCCAGGAGUUUUGGAUUAAACUCCUGCUACCAUAUUGGCCUAUAAUUGCCUCUAGACCGAUAUGUAGCACAACACGGUGAAGUAGUUCCUUCAACACUAGUGUUGUACACUUUGUAGCAGCAAGGUGAGUUGUUCCUCCACAACCCUAUGCUGCUUCAGAGCCCAAGAUAACUGAGUGAAAGAGAGCUGCUUAUAGUAUUAAAAACGCAAAAGGGAAAUAUACUAAAAUGCACAAUGUUUACAUGAUUGACUUGUCACAUUAGAGGCAACACCAUGAAUGUCAGAUGAAGUUACUUACUUUUCAAAAGAUGUAUAGCACAAGAAAAUAGUGACCAAGAAAAAAAAAGUGUGCUCACAAAUAUAUGAUAUAUGGAUAUACAAAUAGAAUAGACAUGCAUCAAAGAUUUUCUGUAAUAUUGUUUUGAAUUGCUUGAUCCUGAUAUUAAUAGAGAAUGUGACAACAUGAACAGAAGGACAUUACUACUAUUUGUAUCUACAUCUGACACUGACAGUUAUCAGUCUUGAAUUAGCAGAGGUAGCUCUAAUCACUAAAGGAAGUACUAAUCAAAUUUUCAUCCCCUGAAAUAAGUCUGCAGUUUAUACAAAUAGAUAAAGAAUUCUGCAGCUAUUUAUUGACGCGAGACUUCAACAACCCAAGGUCAAGUAUUACAAGCACAGGAACCUGUUGCUACCACUGUAGUCAUGGAAUAGGUACAGUAGUGAAUUUUAAAUACACAGAAUAGAUCCAAACUUGGAACGACUUGUGCUAACAAGAUCAGAUAAAACUAAAUUAUAUCUGAGGGCUGGGUACUUACGGAGACAGGGCUCAGAAUUUUCAGUGUUGCACAGUAAGAUGUACGACAUAUAUUUAUUUUCAGUGUUGCACAGUAAGAUGUACGACAUACAUUUUGGAUUAACAUUUAAUUUUGUACUGUAACUUAUGUGUUAUCAGGCAGGCUAUUUUCCAUCCUGAUUAGUUAUAUAGCUAAGAGUGCAAAGUCUACCUUUCACUUCCUUGAAAUACUUUCCAGCAUUCUCACUGCAAAUACAACUAAUAUUUUUGUAGUUGUACGAUCAUAUCCUGUAAGAACUUGGACCUUUGAAAACAUUAGAAGGUGCUCCAGUAGAGAUUUCAGGGACAGAAGUGUACCUUUUAAAUGACUUGUCUUGAUCUAGAUGGUUUACAUCAUCGCAUGCAUCUCCUUUUGCAUUGGCCACAUUGCCAUGCAGACUGGUUGACGGGUCAAUGGUCAGGUACUGCAAGGGGUUGCUAGGGACAUUCUCCAGGACAGCAUUUACAAUGGAACUCUCUGAACUGGUCAGCCUACACUUCUGUCUUGGUGAAUUUGGACCAUACACACAGCUAACUUCAACCCCCAAAUCACUUUCACCCCUUACAGCAGCAUCCAACGAGUCCCCGGUCUCACCUGCUGGUUGCAGAUCCGCCUCCUCAAUCGGAAAAAUUGGGCUCUGAAUUGUCCUCAGCGCAUCCAAGAUAGCAUCAGAGUCGCUACAAGCUCUCCUAAGAAGUGGAAGGUUUGGCAUUUUCCCAGAAUCUGCAAGGAGAUCAUCUAGCCAACACGGUGGUUCACCAAAGAAAGGAUCCUCUGAUGGAAACCUGCAGCUCUGUGUGAACAAGCUGUCAUCUCUUCCUGUGAUUUGAGGACCCAGAGGCGGGCAGCGGGGAGGAAGAUGUGGCGACCGAGACAUGAUGAGAAAUACA
rnacentral:lncRNA from 1 species